GACGAACGCUGGCGGCGUGCCUAAUACAUGCAAGUCGAGCGAGCGGAACCAACAGAUUUACUUCGGUAAUGACGUUGGGAAAGUGAGCGGCGGAUGGGUGAGUAACACGUGGGGAACCUGCCCCGUAGUCUGGGAUACCAUUUGGAAACAGGUGCUAAUACCGGAUAAGAAAGCAGAUCGCAUGAUCAGCUUUUAAAAGGCGGCGUAAGCUGUCGCUAUGGGAUGGCCCCGCGGUGCAUUAGUUAGUUGGUAAGGUAACGGCUUACCAAGGCAAUGAUGCAUAGCCGAGUUGAGAGACUGAUCGGCCACAUUGGGACUGAGACACGGCCCAAACUCCUACGGGAGGCAGCAGUAGGGAAUCUUCCACAAUGGACGAAAGUCUGAUGGAGCAACGCCGCGUGAGUGAAGAAGGUUUUCGGAUCGUAAAGCUCUGUUGUUGGUGAAGAAGGAUAGAGGUAGUAACUGGCCUUUAUUUGACGGUAAUCAACCAGAAAGUCACGGCUAACUACGUGCCAGCAGCCGCGGUAAUACGUAGGUGGCAAGCGUUGUCCGGAUUUAUUGGGCGUAAAGCGAGCGCAGGCGGAAAGAUAAGUCUGAUGUGAGAGCCCUCGGCUUAACCGAGGAACUGCAUCGGAAACUGUUUUUUCUUGAGUGCAGAAGAGGAGAGUGGAACUCCAUGUGUAGCGGUGGAAUGCGUAGAUAUAUGGAAGAACACCCAGUGGCGAAGGCGGCUCUCUGGUCUGCAACUGACGCUGAGGCUCGAAAGCAUGGGUAGCGAACAGG
rnacentral:rRNA from 1 species